rnacentral:rRNA from 1 species
AGCAGCCGCGGUAAUUCCAGCUCUAAUAGCGUAUAUUAAAGUUGUUGCAGUUAAAAAGCUCGUAGUUGAAUUUCGGGAUCAGUAUGUUGGUCGUGCUUCGGUACGUACUGUCAUUACUGGUUUCUACCUUCUGAAGAACCUUGAUGUCAUUAAUUUGGUGUCUUGGGGAAUCAGGACUGUUACUUUGAAAAAAUUAGAGUGUUUAAAGCAAGCAUACGCUUGAAUACAUUAGCAUGGAAUAAUGAAAUAGGACGUUUGAUUCUAUUUUGUUGGUUUCUAGGAUCGACGUAAUGAUUAAUAGGGAUAGUUGGGGGCAUUAGUAUUCAAUUGUCAGAGGUGAAAUUCUUGGAUUUAUUGAAGACUAACUACUGCGAAAGCAUUUGCCAAGGAUGUUUUCAUUAAUCAAGAACGAAAGUUAGGGGAUCGAAGACGAUCAGAUACCGUCGUAGUCUUAACCAUAAACUAUGCCGACUAGGGAUCGGAUGAUGUUAUUUUUAAUGACUCAUUC